rnacentral:misc_RNA from 1 species
UUCAUCUUCAGCCAGGGGGCAGGU